UUUCGAAUUUGGCUCGGAACUCCAACCAACAGCUCGGAUGUCUAGAAAAAAAUAGAUUAUUACGGGUUUUGUGUCUGAUUAGUCGACCAUACCUGAACGGUAUUGUUGUCAAUCCCAAUCGAACCUUUCUGAGGCCGCGAGAAAUCAAACGGGAAACAUAACAUUAAAAUUAUUGGAAUUAUAAACCCCUUC